rnacentral:rRNA from 1 species
GACGAACGCUGGCGGCGUGCUUAACACAUGCAAGUCGAACGGAAAGGCCUGCUUUCCCUUGUGGAUUGCGGGUACUCGAGUGGCGAACGGGUGAGUAACACGUGAGUGAUCUGCCCCCAACUUGGGUAUAAGCCUGGGAAACUGGGUCUAAUUCCCGAUAGGACUGCAGGGUGGUGCCUGUGGUGGAAAACGAUUUUCUAGUGGUUGGGGAUGAGCUCGCGGCCUAUCAGCUUGUUGGUGGGGUAAUGGCCUACCAAGGCGGCGACGGGUAGCCGGCCUGAGAGGGUGGACGGCCACAUUGGGACUGAGAUACGGCCCAGACUCCUACGGGAGGCAGCAGGGGGGAAUAUUGCACAAUGGGCGGAAGCCUGAUGCAGCGACGCCGGGUGGGGGAUGACGGGCUUCGGGUUGUAAACUCCUUUCGACCGCGAGGAAGCCACCUGGUUGGAAGGGUGGUGGCGGUAGUGGUAGAAGAGGCACCGGCUAACUACGUG